rnacentral:lncRNA from 1 species
AAGGCAGGAGAUCAACUGAGGUCAGGAAUUCGUAAUAUGCCUGGCCAACCUGGUGAAACCCUGUCUCUACUAAAAAUACAAAAAUUAGCUGGGCGUGGUGGCACAUGCCUGUAGUCCCAGCUACUCGGGAGGCUGAGGCAGGAGGGUUGCUUGAACCCGGGAGGCGGGGGCUGCAGUGAGCCAAGAUUACACCACUUCACUCCAGCCUGGGUGAAAGAGUGAGACUCCAUCUCAAAAAUAAAAUAAAAAUAGUAUCUGUACAGAGCCCGAUGUGGAAGAAGCUCAGCUAGUGUUAAUCGUUAUGACUAUUACUACUUACAUUAAUAAGCCAAACUUACAACUAUACUUUAUGAGACAUACUCUAGGCACCACAGAGUUCUCUUUUGCUAAGCAAAGAUUUAAUAGUGAACAGUGUUAAUUAUACAUUAUAUACAAUAUCAGGAAAAAAAAGAGUUGUAAUUUUUGAGGAAAAUCGCUUCAGCCUUUUGAGGCCUCCUUUGACAUACCAGUGGUUGACAAGACAGAAUUAAGAACAGUUAAAACAGUUAAAAAGCUGAUAAAAUUAAAUCAUCAAAGGUAGAAAGUUUUCCAACAGGAAAAAAGCCACUGAAGUUAACAGUCUUGUGGAAAAGAACAGAAGAAAGAAUAGGGCCAGGUAUGGCGACUCACGCCUGUAAUCCUGGCACUUUGGAAAGCCCAGGUGGGAAGAUCACGUGAGGCCACGAGUUCAAGACCAGCCUGGGCAACACAGUGAGGCCCCAUCUCUAGAAAAGAUAAAUUAGCCAGGCAUUUAUUAGCUUGCCUGUAGUCCUGGCUACUUGGGAGGCUGAGGUGGGGAGAACUGCUUGAGCACACGAGUUCAAAGCUGCAGUGAGCCAAGAUCACACCACUGCGCUGCAGCCUUAGUGACACAGCAAACUCCAUCUCAAAAAAAUAAUAAGUAAAAGAAUAUAGUUAUAAAGACGGUAGAGAUUAAUUUCUUAAGAAAAUAAUGCAGCUGAUUAGGGGUACUGUUUAACCAUCUGUAAUGGCUUCUAAACAAAUCUUUGUCAAGUGGUUCCUAAGCCAAAACUUCAACAGUUCUGCUUCCUUGGCUUUGGCUCUGCAGAAGUGAGUGACCAUCUGUUCCACCAUGAAAAUGCAAAAGCAAAAUCUACAUGCUAGAAAGUAAUGUCAACCAGAACCUCUGGGGAAACAGUUUAAUGGUCUUUUCCAAUUAAGAAUAGAAUUUCUUUUCUUUCAUAGCUAAAAUUAGAAUUUUUGCUUAAUCCAAAGAAAGAUAAAUUAAUCAGGUUCCAAAGAUAGGAGACCUUAACUAUAAUCCCAAAUUUUUAAAGUUUCUCUUAGUUAAAUGCAGUAUUUAAUGAACAUGGCUGGUGAGUUUCGUUCUCAUGACGUAUCAAGAUGGCAAGAGGGUCACAGCCUGAGAGAGAAUAAUUUCACAGGCUCUUUAAAGUAAGUAUUAAUUAAGAAUUGGUUAGCAAACCUUGACAAGGGCUAACAAAAUUUGGAAAAACAGCAAUGAUGAAAAAACAAAUGUCAAAAGGUGUUAGCAGAUUGUUUAGUUUUGUUUUCAUGUCAUUUUCCUGUUAAUUAUACCCAAAAGACAUGAUUAAAACAUACACCUGUUUCCUAAGAUUUAUACAGGACCAGGUUUCCUUUAAUUAAGUCCAUGUGGAUGCAUAGUCAGAAUCCAUGUGCAAUGAAUGCUUCUGUCAUAGUGCUAAGGAAAGGUCUCCACAUUUCUCAACAAUAGUAUCUUUCCUUCCUCAUUUUGUAGGUUAAGAAGCCAACAAUCUCUCUCCCAGCACUUUCUGAGACUCAUUUAUCAAAGGUAGCUUGUAGGUAGUUUCAGAGUGUAUGAAACACUGUAAAUGAGGUCACUAAGCCACCAACAGAGUACUGAAGCUAUUGAUCCAUGCUAGAGAUUUCUGGGAUUACCUCUGGGGUUUGUUGUUCCCCUUUCUGAACAUGGAAGUAAAAAUUAUAAAUGUGUUCUGCUCCUUUGGAAUGCCUGGAAGGGAAAAAUCAAACAUUCUUUUAUCUCAAUGUAAGUAAGGCGUAUGUCUUUGACAGUUGUGGAUGUUCGUGGAAGAGUGCGAUGACCUUCCUGUCUUUUCCCUUUACAUCACACUGAAACAAACUGUCCUUAUAGUUAACAGAACGUUAGAGUUGGAAGAAACUUUAAAUGAUCUAAACUUCUCAGCCUGUGCUUAAGUGCCUGGUGUGCAAUACAGCCACCAGGUGAUUAUUCAGUAAGUCUCUUUAAAAGCAGUAUCAUAAAGCAAAGAAACCAACCAAAAUCUCCCAACUUUUGAUUCCAGAAGAGUACAGAAUUCUGAGCACAGGUACCUAACAUCCAUACUAUUAAGAAUCAUUACUUGCUAGAGAGCACAGGAGUAAUUACUACAAUUACUUCUAGAAUUUGAUGUCUAGGAUUUAUCUGUUAUCUUUUGCAGUACUGUAAUUUUUUCUAGUCCAAGGACUUAUCUGAAUAUUGAACAUUUAUUGAACAUGAUUGUACUCUAUGAUCUUGGAAGCAGUCUUUAAUAAAAUACAAAAUGAUUUUUUAAACCUUUGAUUCAUUAAGUAAUUAGCAUUCAAUGUAUCUGGAAACAUCGUUUACCCUCUAUAAGAAUUCCAAAACACAUGAACUGGAGCUUGUAUUUAAAAAGGAAAAUGAUGGUGUUCAUUUCAAGGAGUAGAAAAGACUUAAAGUGAGGGCGACACUUAGCUACUUCUGAGGAUAUACUAUACUCAAAACCUUUAAAUAUAAGCUACGGUUCAGCAGCUUUUAAAAUUUCAUGUUUAUUCAUAUUUUUCAAAAUAUAUGUACAUUAAAAAAGGAAGAUUUACAACAGGAAAGAUUGCCUUACUUCAAAAACUUUAAGACAAUUAAAAUGUCAAGUGCCACAGGGAAGAGAAAUGAUAACCAGAAAUUUGUAUUUCUAGCUAGUACUAUUUAACACAACUUCACAAUACUAAAACAAAUACAAAUAAGAAAGGGUUAGGUAGUUGGGCUUCAUUUACUUUUUUCCUUUUCUUUUUUUUUUUAAUAUCUCAAAAAGGAAGCCACUUGCUUGAUAUCAAAAGUGCUGUGGAAAGAAAGGAGGGGAAAAAAACCCACAAAUAAAUGUAGAAUCUAGUUUAUUUUACCAAACUGUAUAUUUUUCCACUUAACAUUUCUACAUUAGCAAUGAUGUAACUCUCCAACAUUUCCUUAUAAAAAAGGCAAACAAGAAGUGACAACUCAUGCUCCAAAUAUUAAAAAAUAUAUUUAAACAUAUGAUCAAGAAGAUUUGGGCCGUGAGUGGUAGCUCACAUCUGUAACCCCAGGAUUUUGGGAGGCUGAGGCAGGCGGAUCACCUGAGGUCAGGAGUUCGAGACCAGCCUGACCAACACGGCGAAACCCCAUCUCUACUAAAAAUACAAAAAAAUUGCCAGGCGUGGUGGUACACACCUGUAAUCCCAGCUACUCG